ACGGGGUAGUCAGUCAGUCAGUGGCACAGAGUGAAUUGCGUUCUUAAGUACUCCUGGGUGAUAUACACAAAAACUACGAAAGAGUACAUUAUUCAAGAAUCAGUUUGAAAAAUGGUCAUCAAUCCCCACGUGGCAAUUCGGCGCACCUUCGUCAGAUAUCUACACAGCGUAGUCAGCAGGUCACAGUCACACAAUUAGCACCCUGGUGCAAACGGCCUUCGGGAAGUGAAAACGUUUGUUUCAGCGGUUCUAAAUUUUCUAAUCAUUCGGCUUGGGUGUUUCGUCAACGGCAGAAGAACUCUCCCGUCGCUCUGCUGUCGCGGUAUAUAGUUUAUUUAAGAAAGUGUUCGCAGUGAGUUUGCCUUUAAAACAUUCUAAUAACUGUGUCAUUCGGCGUUGGUGUUUCGUCAACGGCAGGAGAAUUCUCCCGUCGCGGUAUAUAGUUUACUUAUAAAAGUGUCCGCAGUGCGUUUGCAUUUAAAACAUUCUCAUAACUGUGUCGUAUUAUCAUGUAUACUGCACCUGCCUUCUCCAAGUGAUUCAGACAUGGCCGGUCAUAUGGGACACGAGUUUUUGACUGGCGAAGCAGCUUGGUGUCCCCUUCCCCAACUCUGAGUCGACUUUCGUCGAUGGUUUGUUGUCUCACCUACUCUUAUCCUCGUCUGCAUCCGUGACGGAGGGUCACGUCUUCCAGCCGUCUUGGAACAUGAAGUGUGUGAACGAUAUAAAGAGGUUGGUUUAAGGUUUACAGAGAUACCUCGCAAGCCAUCCCCUCCAUAGCAGUUUAUGAGACGCUGAUAGAGCAUAAAAGGUAUUGCAGUUUGCAAGAGCCAUAAGGAAUUUGAGAGUAAGAAAUCUGUAUUUUGAGACCUGCAGAUUUUAAAAUUUAAUAUGUUCAGAGGGUUUCUAACCAUUGGAUUUAAUAAGAGGUGUUUUUUGGACACUUCACAAUCCAUCCCUUUAGUAGCAGUUGAUGAGACAUGAAGGAACAUCAAAGCACAUUGCUGGUGGAGUAUAAAAGGUAAAACAAAUAUCUUUUGUAACCAGAGUUGGAUUUAGUAAAUAACUGAUCCCAGCCGUGCCAACUGUGGAGAAAGGCAUGCCUCUUUGAGCAAUGUAUGUUUAUUAAGGAAGGUCAUGGCAGCAUAACUAAAGGAACAUU